GGGGACGUUACGGAUUCGACAGGGGUAGUUCGAGCUUAAGUUGCGAGUCGAGGGGAUCGGCCUCGUUAAAACGUCACAGCCAAUAACUGGCAACCAAAAAUUAGCUUUAGCUGCUUAAUAAAAGUAGCUGCUCCUCCCUCCAUCGCCCAUGUGGUAGGGUAAGGGGCUCAAACUAAGUGGGCUACGCCGGAGUUCGCCGUCUGAGGGCGAAGGAAGAGAAUAACCAGACUAGUGGCUUGGACGCCUGUCGAUAGGCAUAAGAGUUUGCGAAAUGCUAAUAUAUCGACUACACUCGUAGAAGCUUAAGUGCCGAUACUUUUGGACGUGGGUUCGACUCCCACCGUCUCCACCA
rnacentral:tmRNA from 1 species